AUACGGAGGGUGCAAGCGUUAUCCGGAUUUAUUGGGUUUAAAGGGUGCGCAGGCGGACCUGUCAGUCAGUGGUGAAAUCCCGGGGCUCAACCCCGGAACUGCCAUUGAUACUACAGGUCUUGAAUACGAUUGAAGUAGGCGGAAUGUAGCAUGUAGCGGUGAAAUGCAUAGAUAUGCUACAGAACACCGAUCGCGAAGGCAGCUUACUAAGCCGAUAUUGACGCUCAGGCACGAAAGCGUGGGUAGCGAACAGGAUUAGAAACCCGGGUAGUCC
rnacentral:rRNA from 1 species